rnacentral:rRNA from 1 species
UACAGAGGUCUCAAGCGUUGUUCGGAUUCAUUGGGCGUAAAGGGUGCGUAGGCGGCGGGGCAAGUCGGAUGUGAAAUCUCAGGGCUCAACCCUGAAACUGCAUUCGAUACUGCCUUGCUCGAGGACUGGAGAGGAGAUUGGAAUUCACGGUGUAGCAGUGAAAUGCGUAGAUAUCGUGAGGAAGACCAGUGGCGAAGGCGGGUCUCUGGACAGUUCCUGACACUGAGACACGAAGGCCAGGGGAGCAAACGGG